CCCCUAGAUGUUCUGGGCCGCACGCGCGCUACACUGAACAGUUCAACAAGUCUUAACCUUGGCCGAUAGGUCUGGGUAAUCUUUGAACGCUGUUCGUGAUUGGGAUAGACCUUUGCAAUUAUGGGUCUUCAACGAGGAAUUCCUAGUAAACGCAAGUCAUCAGCUUGCAUUGAUUACGUCCCUGCCCUUUGUACACACCGCCCGUCGCACCUACCGAUUGAAUGGUCCGGUGAAAUCUCGGGACGGCGGCUCGGUCGCUUACGUCCGACUGCUGAAACUUGAUUAAACCAUAUCAUUUAGAGGAAGGUGAAGUCGUAACA
rnacentral:rRNA from 1 species